rnacentral:rRNA from 1 species
CAGCAGUGGGGAAUAUUGGGCAAUGGAGGAAACUCUGACCCAGCGACGCCGCGUGCGGGAUGAAGGCCUUCGGGUUGUAAACCGCUUUCAGCAGGGAAGAAGACGAAAGUGACGUGUACCUGCAGAAGAAGCACCGGUUAACUAUGUGCCACCCGCCGCGAGUAAUACAUAGGGGGCAAGCGUUGUCCGGAAUUGAUUGGGCGUAAAGAGCUCGUAGGUGGUUCAUGUCACGUCGGAUGUGAAAAUCUGGGGCUCAACCCCGGACCUGCAUUCUAUACGGGCGAACUUGAGUAUGGUAGGGGAGACUGUAAUUCCUGGUGUAGCGGUGGAAUGCGCAGAUUAUCAGAAGGAACACCAAUUGCGUAGGCCGGUCUGUCUGGGCCACAUUACUGACACUGUGAAGCGAAAGCGUGCGGAGCGGACAGGAUUAGAUGCCUUGGUAGUCCACGCGGUAAACGGUGGGCACUAGGUG